rnacentral:lncRNA from 1 species
CUUUAUCAUGGAUUGUACUGAUACGACAAGAAGUAAUUGCUUUAAACUAACAGAGAGAUUUAGAUUAGAUAUGAGGAAGAAAUUAUGUACUCUGAGGGUGGUGAUGCCCUGGAACAGGUUGCCCAGAGAAGCUGUGAAUGCCCUGUCCCUGGAGGUGUUCAAGGCCAGGUUGGAUGGGGAUUUGAGCAACCUGGUCUAGCAGAAGGUGUCUCUUCCCAUGGUAGGGGAUUUGGAACUAGAUGAUCUUUAAGGUCCCUUCCAACCCAAACCAUUAUUUGAUUCUAUGAUUCUAAAGCAGCUUGUCAGGAAUACAUUUAAUUUGGAUAUUGAAAGUAUGUCUGACCAACAAGAUCAUAAAAUUUUGAUGGGUUUUGUAAAUGGAAAUAUUGAAUUCAGUCAGGUGGUCGUUGCAGCUGAUAAUCUAGAAAGCCUCGUUUCUACAUUCUUACACCACCCAAUGUCUUAGCAAUUACAUCUGAUUAAUUUAGAUAAAAUGUUUUUUUUUUUUUUUUCCCUGAAUUUGUGCUUAAUGAAAUAUCCUAAAUUUAAAUUAUUGCUUACACAAACUCAAUUUGUCUUUGCAGAGUAUGGAGAAAAAAAUGUUCUAGAAUCUCUGGAGUCAGAUUACUUCAAAAACCAAACUGAAUUGAAACCAACAAAUAAACAAACAAACCAACAGGGAGAUGAAGCUUUAGAAGCCCUUAUAUAAAUGUUUCAGGACAUCAAGAACACCUUGCUAAAUGAAUUUUCUAUGCAUAAGCAGCAUACUCAUUUUUCAUACCUCAAUAUUUAAUUACCAUGUGAUAAUAAUACAAACCGUGAGAGAGGAUAGCAGUACUUUCCACAAGACAACAACAGCUUUUUUCAUUAAAAAUAAAAUGUCCUUUCUGCACA